UCGGAGAGUUUGAUCCUGGCUCAGGACGAACGCAGGCGGCGUGCCUCAUACAUGCAAGUCGAGCGGACAGAUGCGAGCGUGCUCCCUGAUGUUAGCGGCGGACGGGUGAGAAACACGUGGGUAACCUGCCUGGAAGACGGGGAUAACUCCGGGAAACCGCGGCUAAUACCGGAUGGCUGUUUGAACCGCACGGUUCAAACAUACAAGGUGGCUUCGGCUACCUCUUACAGAUGGCCCUGCGGCGCAUUAGCUAGUUGCUGAGGUAAUGCCUCACCA
rnacentral:rRNA from 1 species